rnacentral:rRNA from 1 species
GGGAGCAAUCCCUGAGUACAGUGGCGCACGGGUGAGUAACACGUGACUAACCUACCUUCGAGUGGGGAAUAACCUGGGGAAACCCGGGCUAAUACCGCAUAACACUUACGAGUCAAAGCAGCAAUGUGCUUGAAGAGGGGGUCGCGGCCGAUUAGCUAGUUGGCGGGGUAAUGGCCCACCAAGGCUUUGAUCGGUAUCCGGCCUGAGAGGGCGCACGGACACACUGGAACUGAAACACGGUCCAGACUCCUACGGGAGGCAGCAGUGGGGAAUUUUGCGCAAUGGGGGAAACCCUGACGCAGCAACGCCGCGUGGAGGAUGAAGUCUCUUGGGACGUAAACUCCUUUCGAUCGGGACGAUAAUGACGGUACCGGAAGAAGAAGCCCCGGCUAACUUCGUGCCAGCAGCCGCGGUAAUACGAGGGGGGCAAGCGUUGUUCGGAAUUAUUGGGCGUAAAGGGCGCGUAGGCGGCUUGGUAAGUCUUGUGUGAAAUCUUCGGGCUCAACUCGAAGUCUGCAUAGGAAACUGCCGAGCUUGAGUAUGGGAGAGGUGAGUGGAAUUUCCGGUGUAGCGGUGAAAUGCGUAGAUAUCGGAAGGAACACCUGUGGCGAAAGCGGCUCACUAGACCAUAACUGACGCUGAGGCGCGAAAGCUAGGGGAGCAAACAGGAUUAGAUACCCUGGUAGUCCUAGCCCUNAACGAUGAUCGCUUGGUGUGGCGGGUUUUCCAAUCCC